rnacentral:lncRNA from 1 species
UUCAACUUUCACGCCUCCUUCUCCAGGCCCUCCACGCCCUUCGGCCACUUCCCGUCUGCCUUUGCACCCUCCGGCGACCGGAGCCUCAUCCCACCGCGCCCAUCUCCCUCUGCACCCUCCAGCGCCGCCGCACCCUCCUCUGCCUUGGGCCCCUUCGGCCCUUCCCGUCUGCCCUCUGCACCGUCCAGCGCCGCCGCGCCCUCCUUUGCCUUCGGCCCCUUGGCCCUUCCCGUCUGCCUCUGUACCCUCCGGCGAUCGGAGCAUCGUCCAACCGCGCCCAUCUCCCUCUGCACCCACCAGCGCCGCUGGGCCCUCC